CUGGUCUCUUUCACCAACUCAUAGCCUACUAGCCAACGUCAGUUCCAGGGAGGCCGGACAUAAGGUAGCCGUCCGAGGAACAUCCUGCUAGCCUUACCAGAACAGUACCCAGCAUGCAGAACGUGACUGUUCUGGUAACUUCUGCUGAAGAGAGGAGUUUGUUGUGUAUGAGAAGCCCUGACAUGUCCUUACAUUCGCUGACAAACCCUGUUGUCCAUCUUCUAUGAUCUUAUCAUUAUAAUGCAGGCCUGCAGAAGAGGGAAGACUGACUUCUAAAACAUCUGUAUAAUUUCCACUUGAGUACUAAGAGGUCAUCUCCAGCUAUGAAGUGCUCAAGAAACUUAGCAAAUGAUUAAACUUUAGACUUGUUAAUAGCAUGUCCUACUGAGCAGUCCAUAGCCGAGUUGGAGGAAAUGUUUCCUGUAGGGGUGAGUUUUGAAACCCUCUUCCUAGCCACUUGGAGGACAGUCUGCUUCCUUUGGAUGAAGAUAUAGAACUCUCAGCUCCUCCUGUGACAUGCCUGCUUAGAAGAUGCCAAGCUCCCACUUGAUGAUAAUGGACUGAACCUCUAAACCUCAGGAGAUCUGUGACUGGACAGUAAAAGGGGAAGCAGAGUGAAGAGUUGCAGAGACAGAGAGCAACUUGGAGGAGAGGAAGAAGCCAAGAUGG